rnacentral:lncRNA from 1 species
CCACUCGCUCAUGCGGUACAUCGGCUUCACCAUGUCGGGCUCCAAGCAGGCCCGCACGUACGCGCUCAUGUUCGGGCUGCCGUCAUCGGCGGUGACGAGGAGCCGCGAGAAGGGCGUGAGGAGGUAGCCAAUGCUGCCGUCUCCGUCGUCGUCGACGCCGCUGUCGCCGAGAGCCUGCACGGCGAAGACGCCCUGCGCGGAGAGAAGGCGCAUGAGGCGGCGGAGCAUCGGCUGCUUCUCGAGGGGCACGGGAAUGGAGAGCGCGAGGGCCGGGAGAGGCAUGGGCUCGCCGCCGUAGGCGUGGAUGCGGUCCGGGAUGCGGAGGUCGACAGCGCACUUGAGGGCGAAAGGGCCAACGAUGCUGAUGAUUCGGUGUUCAAUCGUCGACUGGACGACCAGCAGCUGGUCGUCGGUGAUCUUCAUCUCGCCUUUGCCGGGCUCCAUUUCUAAUCUAUAGAUUGUUUGGAUUCUUAAUUACUUGGAAGUGGUGGAGGAUAUAGAGGCUUUAGGCUUGCCGGUAAAUAUAUAGUGCUUUCGGGGGAUAGAACACUACCAAUCAACCAUUCAAAAUAAAAUUACAAUGAGAGUAGAGAAAUGUUAACUUCAAAACUUAGUCUUAUAUAAUUAUGAUUCGGCAAAAAAUUCAAUACUGGUAUGACAUAAAUAAAAUUUGUAUUCCGAAUUUUAAAUUCGUUGAAAAAUACGGUUUAAAAAACAGAUUCGCCAAUUAUUUGGAUACACAAUUAUACGAAAAUUAUACGUUUACCAAUUAAAAAUUUGGUACAAAAAUUCGGCUGUUAAAUUAAAUAUUUUUCCCUCGAUUUAUGAUACUACCGUAAAUAGUUAUAGCUCUUAAGAAUAUAAUAAUAAAGAGCUACAAAAUAAAAUAGAUUAAAUAAGAAAAAAUAAUAGUGUAGUUUAUUAUCAUUCCAUAUACUCCUGUAGCUCAUCAUGUUUUUUAAUAAUUCGCCAAUAAUUCGACAAUAAUUCGCAAAUAAUGAAAAAAUGGUCUUAUUUAAAAAUUUUGCGCGUUUUUUUCGCUGAAUAUUUUGGUAUUCGCGAAUUAUUCGUGAAUAAUAAAUCUAAGAUAAAAAAUUAUAUUUUAUUUUGAUUUUUUAAAAAUAAAUCACAUACGAAUUGUUUUAUUUAAAUUUUCAAUAAUCGACAAAUUAACUAUCGACUACCGUGGUUGCAAUCUCUUUCAGAACGAUGCCUGGAAAUUUUCUGGACACAAAUUUAGGAGACAGCAACGUUGUACGUACACUUCCCUCACAUGUGGUUCUUACAUUGGCCAUAACUAGAAAUAAUUGACUGAUCACGCCAUAUUCGCAUUCAUAGGUAGCAUUUUUCAAAUCUAAUUAAAUCUCAUCACUAUCCUAUUGAAAAGGUUGGAUUUAAGAUGCUAUAUACUAUUCUCAAACAAAUCAACUUCUCCGUACAUUAAACUUUUGCAAACUAGUCCCUCAACGAAGAGAAUUUACUGUUAAAUCCCCUCUCAAAUUUAAGUACACGCACCUGCUGACUAAAUAAUAUCAAACAUUUAAGGGGCUAGAGAAGUUAUAUAUAACAUCCUCCCUUGUUACGACGAAAAUCGAAAAGAUCUAAUUUGCCAGAAGCGAAAAUAUCAAAAAAAAUCCGAAAAAGAGAGAAGAAAAAUAAAACAUAUAAUAUUUACGUGGUUCGGUCACCGGUUUAUAUCCACGAGCGAAAACGAAGCAAAAAUCUUCAUUAUAAUCAAAAUGGUGUAUAAAAUAUACCUCUCUCGUAAAAUCCUAACUCCAAAAAUGCACUCAUAUUCUCUCUCUCAUCUGCCGCACCAAAUCAAUGGAAUAAAAGAUAUAUUUAUAAUAGUGGCUAAAUUCUAAUAUGAUUAGAAAUACAAAUUCACUAAGACUAGAAAUAUCUUAAUUAUAUUAGGUAUAAUCUAUAUUUAACUUAAUGAGAUAAUAAUCAAAACAGAAAAGAGUUAAAAAAUCUUGAGAUUUUAGAAUUUGAGACAUAUCUAAUAUCCCUCUAGUAUAUUGUCGAAUAUGGGUAAUGAAGUUGUCUGCCCAAAAGAAACAAAAGUAAAAUCUAUUUUAUUAAUAAAAAGAGAGACUGACCGUCCCCAGAGCAAGUGGCAAAGGACUUGGUGGUUGGUACCCGAGACCCAAGUUUGAAUCCUAGUUGAUUCACUUUUUCAGCUAAAUUUAUUUCUAAAUGAAAUAAACGAAGCGGGUAGCGUGCUACAUAUCUCUCAAAAAAUAAAAAUAAAAAUAAAAAUAAAAAGAGAGCUAUUUUGGAAUGAGCCCCAAGCCUUUCAGCUUGGAUUCGCCGCUGUGACUUGCUCUCUUUAAAGUAUGCUAGGUUCAACUACUUAGUUUGGACUAAACUGGGCUAUGUUUUAGCACGGAACUGGAAAUUCCAAAGAUAUAAGAUUUCGGCCUAAAUCUUCGGAUGGUUGAAACAUCAGAAAAGUAAACUACUAAAACUAUUAGAACUAUUACCGAUCGUCCCUAGAGCAAGUGGCAAAGGGUUUGGUGGUUGAUACCCGAGACGCAAGUUCGAAUCCUAGUUGAUUUACAUUUCUAGCUAAGUUUAUUUCUAAAUGAAAUAAACGAAGCGGGUACCGUGCUACCUAUCUCUCAAAAAAAAAAAAAAAAAACUAUUAGAACUAUUGCUACGAUUUUCGGCUGGAAUUAGAAAAACCUAACAAGUCUACUUUCAGUAUGAAGAAUAAAACUACUAUUUUCUAAAUAGAAUAGCCUUAGGCAUUGGACUCGUGGAAGUAAAGCCUUUUCCUUCAUCUUUUGUGUAGUAUUUAUAACUCCAUGCAUGUCCUGAUUUCGAGUCUGAUAAUAUCUAAUAAGAUGUAAUUUAAUAUUUGAUUUAUUUUGUCAUUUAGUAGCUCGUACUAACUACAAUAAGUAUUUUGCGAAUAAAUUAUUGAGUUAUUUUCUAAAGUUAAUAGUUUUGAUCACUUGUUAGCAACUAAAAACUAGAAUACUUCAUAACUAACUAGUAAAGAUAUCCGCAUGUUACGGCGGAUUGAUUUUAAAAAUAUAAUAAUUAACGAAAAUAAUGCAGUAAUCAGUUUCUGUACAACAGAAAACAAAAAGGAGUAAGAAAAAAACUAUCUCGAUAUUUUUACACAAAUAUAAAAUAGCAAGUAAAGGUUAUAAAAUUUAUAGAUCUGUUAAAAUAUGAAAUCUUAAUCGAUAAAUAAAAUAAAUAAAUAAGAGUCAUCCGCUAGCAAUUUAAUCUUCUAAAGUGACUUUGAACCCAAAAUAUCUGUUUAGUCAUCUUCAUAAAUUUCCAGCCAAGUUGUAUCUAGCGAGAGAGUGCAUUGCAUUGUAGUGGAUUGCACUAAGCGUAAUAAAGAAUCCAUAAAAUUACCUCACUCCCUAUAAUAGAAGCCCUCUAUUGUUGGUAUUGAUAUAAAAAAUUCUUAUUAGUACCUUAUUAUAAUAUUCAAUGUGAUCUAAUUAGCUGCAUGAUUUAACAGUAUAUGCCACUGGUUGUGCAUAGUACUUCGAUCUCACUUUCACUUCUUCUAGACGAUUACUUGUAAACAAAAGAAAGAGAAAUUUUUUUAAAGAAAGAUUAGAAUACCUUGAACAAAACAAAAGGAUCAAAAUGAUCUUCUUAGAAGUAAAUUUCAUAAAAUUUUUAUGAUUUUACAUUGGUUGCUAUUUAUUGGAUGUAUCUUUAUAUUCGUAAACAAAAAUAAAAGCUUGUUUUUCCAAUGGCUUAAGAAGAAUUUAAAAGAAAUAAUUACUGCAGUAUUCAUGGAGUGCAAGAAAUGUGAUCACUGUCAAAAGCAAUAGCGCUGAAGAAAAGGAGCAAUAGAACAAAUUCGACAACUUUACAAUAUUCACAACUUUAAUGCCAUUGUAAGAAAACAUCAAUCUUUUGUUAAGUGUAUUAUUCGGUUGUUUCUUAUUGUUGAAUACAAAAUUUAAUAAUUUUAUGAUGGUAUCAAUGCAGGAUGUCAUAAAUCUGAGUCUUGCCAGGUUCAUAGUAUUGUUAUUUUUUUUUUAUUUAUUCAAGCCAUGUCUUGAGUCUAAACAUUAAAGGGGCUAUGUUGAAUAUAAAAUAUAAAACCGCUUUCUAACAAAAGAUUUUCGAGGACAAUAAUUGCAAGGGAUAAUAUCCUAUAUACUCCUUAUACGUUUGAAAAUAUCCGAUUUGUUCCUACUUUUUUUUCUUUCUAAAAUACCUCUCAUAUGUUCCACCGUUAUUGCAAAAUACCCUCGCAGUUAUCUCCUGUUAAGUUAACUUGGGUUAAACAUGAGUUAAAUAUCUACCACAGUUAAAAAAAUUAAAACGCCAAUUUUGCAUUUAACUUAUUUUGUGCCCCUGACUUUAAGAGCAAAUAAGAAAGACAAUGAUAGUGAAAAGGUAUAUUUGAAAGGGCAAAAUAGUAAUUUUACAGAGAUAAUAUAGUUAAUUAACAGAUUUUAACUCUAGAGGUAUAUUAGGAAUAGGUUGAAACGUAGGAAGGGUAUUUUCAAUAUUAGCCUUCUAAAAGGGGUAAAUCGGAAAGUCAGAAACUUUUCAGGGGUAUAUAAGUAAUUGCCCCUAAUUACAAAUAAAACUAUGGUAUCUGAUGCAAUGGUAAACUAUUAUCUAAUGCAGUAUCUUCUAUAACAUAAAUUCUCAUUUGUUAUAUUAUCUAUAAAUUUAGCGUACCACAGUUUUGUACGAACAAAGAUUUACUCAUAAAAUAAAAUAUUUAAUUUAAAUCCCGACUCAUACCAAGAAAGAUGAUUAAUAACUAAAUAAAUCUAAUUCUAUCAUCUUACCGAGACUUGAUAUCCUUUAAUUUAUAACCGCAGGCAAAAUCGCCGACACCUCCGCCGAUCAUUGCUGCUUGAGUGCUCGUCGAGGAACCUCUACCUCACAGAGUAGCAAAGUUCAAAAUCCAAAAGGGUGUUAUAGAGCCCCGAGAUCUCCACGUAAUUGAACCCAGAUGCUAAAUCCACACUAAUUAAAAUUCUCAAGUCGAAUUGGACAUCGGAUGAGGCAGCGAAGGAGGAUGGGGUUUGAGAGGAGGCGAGGAAGGCAGUGCCUCUACCGCAGCCGACAGAGAUGUGACCGUGGCGAGGGGCGGAAAUUUAGUCUAACGUUUUGGUAGUGUAAUAUGCAUGCUCUUUGCAAAGAAACAUCAAUUAACUAAUAUGAAAUCCCAUGCAUGUUCUAUUGUCCACGUGGCGAUAUUAUCUUGAUUUGAAUUUUUGUGUGACCUACCUGUCAAACUAAUAUAUUUUGCUUAAUAUAAUUUUCAUUUAAUUGGCUAAGAGAUUUUUCAAAUUCUCUUUUGUGGGUCUCACCUAUCAUCUUAAUUAAUUAUAGACUUUUGUGGAAACCCAACUGUCAUAUUAACUUAUUUGCCCAUGGGUCCCACUGUCAGUUUAUUUUUCUCAUUCUCUUUCCAUUUAAUUGUUUCAGAGACUUUUCAUUCCACCUUCAUCUCUAGGGUCGCUUCGACUCCCGAGUAGCGACGCUUCGUUCCAACGUGUCGCAAUAAUUGUUUGGAUUCAUCUCAUCGAAUAUAUCUAUUUGCCGAAUCUGAAAGGCCAUCUAACGUUUAAUGCGGUAUUUCCCGCUGCCUUUUUUUUUUGUGCGGCAUAACAUCUCCACUCCUCUGCCAGUUUUCACUUUUUCUCUGAUUUGGUUUUCACCUUUCAUUCAUGUUGUAAUUUCAAUUUGUGUACUUAUUAUUUUUUUCUCAGAAAAUACUAAAUACUUUUAUUUUCUCUCAGAAAAUUUAUUGCUUCUGGCUGCAACAAUUAAUCAUAUUAACAGGUUCCUUUUUACUUUGAAUUUGAUCUUUUAUUUCUUUACUCCAAUUUUUCUAUUGUAUAUUAUAUUUUAAAUUAAUAUUAAUCUUUUUUAUUAUGAAUUUUUUACCUCUGUAUCUACAAUUGAUUGUCUCAGAUUUUUUAAGUUUCUUGGCCUAAUUUUUAUGUAUAUACUUAUUUUUUUUUGCAUAUUAUUUUACGCUGUUACAAGUGUAAAAUUCGUUGUAUCUAUGGUUGCCGCUGCUGCUGUUUCUUCAAUUGCUUCUGCUUUUUUUUUUCUUAUUCAAUUUUUUUUCUCUUAUGUAAUUACUAUUUCUUCUUUCUUUACCUUUUUUCACAGGAUAUUAAAUAUUUCUUUAAGUUAUUUAUACAUCAAAAUUUUUUUUUCUUAAGAAAAGAAUUUUAGUAUAAAAACGCAAGUUAAAUAUUGAAUAUUAUCUACUCGCAACAUCGUGCGGGUCACUGCACUAGUUAUAAUAAGCUUUACCAUGCACAGUUUUAUGUUUAUAGUUGCAGGUCUCAAAGGCAAAAUCAAGUUCAAAGUUAAGAAUAUAUAUUUCUCCUUAUCAACCACUUCCAACCAUUAAGACAAACAAAUAUUAAGAUAUUGUUUACACUGGCCUUUCCCUUUUAGUCUCCUAAAGGCUAUAUAAUAUCAUGUAAAAAUAUUAAUAGUAAAUAUAAAGAAACAAAAGAGAACACUCUUCAAGUUAGGGAUAAAUGUAUAUUUAUUUAUAUAAAUAUAUCUGAAUUUUAAUGGAUCCUUCCGAGUCAUCAAUUUUACUUUUUUGUAUAUUUAUUUAUAUAAAUAUACCUGAAUUUUAAUGGAUCCUUCCCGGUCAUCAUUUUUACUUUUUUGAGAGAAAAAAAAGAUUGUUUGUAUGCAAGAAAGGUUAGAAUUUCUAGAAAUCAAAUUUACAGCAUUUAGAAAAUUCUAAAAAUUAAAUUUUUUAAUUUUUUGACAUUAUUUUACUUUACGAUCUAAAGAUCUUAAAAUUAACAACUUUUAACGUGCGGUAUGUGAUGCUUACUAAUUCAACGGUGUAAAAAAAUCAAAAUUGGCUGAAUUUUUGAUAGAAAAUUCUAUUCACUAUCUAAAUAAAGACCAAUAACUCUGAUCUUAAAGAGGACGUUCAAUUUUGACCGUUCAUUUUAUGCCUUCUUGGUGGAGUUUAAUAUAACUUUAAAAAAACUACGAAAUUUAUUUUUUAAGAGUUUCAAAUACUCCAGAUUAUAUUUAAGAGUUUCAAAGUUCCAUUAUAAAAAAUAACUUAUAAGCACGAAAGGGUGUAUACUUAUAAUAUAUAUAUAUAUAUAUAUAUAUAUAUAUAUAGAGAGAGAGAGAGAGAGAGAGAGAGAGAGAGAGAGAGAGAGAGAGAGAGAGAGUUGGGUUAAAAUACUCGUAAUAGUAUCCGACUAUGGAUACUAUUAAGAGUAUCUAUAGUCGGGAUGAAAAAUUGCAAGGUUGGGAUGAUAGUGAUCCCUUAGAGUUUAGUGGUGGUUUCCUAGGUUUUAGUAGGUGGUUGCUAGAAUCGCAUGAUCUAAAGAAUGGAAUUGAUCAAGGGGUAAAUCUAAUAGUGAAAAACUGAAUAGCACAAAGUGUUUGGUACUAUAAAUAGUAUCUCGGAAAGACUAUAUGUAUGUAUGUAACUAUGUAUGUAUGUAUGUAUGUACCUUAUUUUACUUUUUAUCAUGCCUAUUGUUUACGUAGGGUGUAAUGUGGGUCGUGCCGGGCCGGCAUUGCCCACAUUUUUCGGGCCGAAACGGGCUAGGGACUGGCUCGGCCCGAGCUCUCUAGCCUUCGGCCCAGUACGGCCCCUCGGCCUGGAAGGCACGGGCCCUGCCGUGCUCCAGGCUAGCCCAUUUUUAAAUUUUUUUAAAAAAAUAUAUAAAAUAUAAGAAUAUAAACAAAAAAUUAUUUUUGUUUAAAUUGAUAUUUUGAUUAAAAUAUUUAAAAUUUAUAAAAAAUUUAUAAAAUAAUAAAUAUUUAAAUAUAUUAUAUAUAUAUUUGUAAUAUUUUUUUAAAAAAAUUUGAAAUCUUUUUUUGGUCUAAUGGACCAAAAUUAUUUUGGUCCACUUUGGUCCAUUAGACCAAAAGCAUGCCUCCCAAGGUCUGCUCACCUUGGGAGGAGGGCCACGAGAUUGGACCCAGACCCAAGACAACUUGCCUUGGGCCUGGAGUUCCGGGCCAACGGCCUCUCCUCGGCCCGGGACGGCAUAGGCCCGUUUCGGGCAGUGUCGUGCCGGGCCGUUGGGCCCCAAAAAAGCGACCUAUCAGGCGCCCGGAGAGCCGGGCUGGCCCGGUCCGGCAUGGAUGUUACAGUAGCCUUGUCCGGGCCACGGCUCGGCCUGCAUUGGUGCCAGGCAGGGCGGCCCACGGCCCGUUUUACAGCCUUAUGUUUACGGUUCAACGUUAAGUUACUUUGUAUGUGUUUUGUACCAAUGUUCUACAUUUAGGUUUUCAAAUGUUUAUUUCAAAUCAAUUGAACAUAAUAGUUUUUUACGAAAAUUAUAAUGAUGUAUAAAAUAAAAUAUAAAUUAUAGUAUCAAAACAAAUAAAAAAAAACUAUUAUUGAUACAAAAUAAACUUCCACAAUAUUAUUGAAAAAACUCUCAGCACGCAUCAUAGUAACGUACAUUAUUUUACACACAUUUUUUUUAACAUGAUCAACUGAUCACACCAUUAUUCACCUUGUCUAAUCCUGUAAUUAGGGAAAGAGCUCAAUUAUGGAGUGUGGACCACCCUUCAAAGGAGUAAUUUUGUAGUUUGCAAACCCUGCUUUGCUAAAAAUUUUUCGCCACUCGACUUCGUCGCGCUCCUUUCCGCCGAGGCCAGUCAUCAUAAUAACAUCAGACAAGAGUCCCAUUUCAUUUUUCCGGGGGUCGUCGCCGAGCGUAUUUAUCACUAUAUCCACAAUUAUGACUUUUCCGUGUUCUCCUCCAUUAGCAGAAAUUGCUUUCUUACAUUGCUUUAGAAUCUUCACGCAGUCCUCGUCGCUCCAGUCGUGAAGAACAUUCUGUGUUACACAUUUCAGGAGAUCUUUUGUCAGGAUCAAAUGCAAAUGUAACACCACUAUUUUUUGAUUGCACGUGGUAUUUGUAAUUCAUAAAAAACAAUACACGAUGAUUAAUUGCGAAAAAUAUUUGUUCAUGUAUAUAUAUAUAGAGAGAGAGAGAGAGAGUGUGUGGCUACUAUACUUUUAUGAAUAUGACCACCCUCAAACUUAUAAGUUGUUUUCGAUGAUAGAGUUUCCGAAUCGACGAUCCAUACCGUUAAAUAUUAUUUAGAACAUUUAAAACUUUUAGAAAUCAAAUUUCAUAAUUUUUCGAUAUUAUUUACCUUAUGAUUAAAAUGUCACAAAAUUGACAAAUUUUAAUGAUUGAUAUGGGAUAUGUGUUAGCUUAGCAGUGUGAAGGAAUUGGAAUAUGUUGAAUUUUUAAUAAAAAAUUAUAUUCACUACCUAAAUAAAGAUCAAUAACUCUAAUCUUAAAUUAAAAGAUCCGAUCAUCUAUUUUUCGGACAUCGUUCGAUUUUAAUCGUUGAUUUUAUGCCUGCUUGAUAGACUUUAUUAUGAUUUCGAAAAAUUACAAAAUUUAUUUUUUAGAAGUUUCAAAUACUUUAGAUCAUAUUUAAGAAAGCAGAUUGUCGAUUCGGAAGCUCUAUCAUCGAAAACAACUUAUGAGUACGAAGUGCUCUAUACUCAUAAGAAUAUAAUAGCCCUACUCUCUCUUUUUCUCUUUCUUUCUCUCUCUCUCCAUAUAUAUAUAUAUAUAUAGGCUGGAAUGCUUUUAAUAGCACUAAGUUAUUGGUGUUAUUAGAUUUUUGGUUCUUGAACAAAAGGAUGUGCUAUUAGAAUGAUAGUGAUCCUGUAGGGUUGAGUAGAUGGUUGGUUGAAUAGUAUGAUUUAUCCUAGAGUAGAUUGUUGGUUGAUUAAUAUGAUUUAACGGAUAGAGAUGGUCGAAAGGUAAAUCUAACGAUUGAAAACUUUGUAGCACCAAGUGCUUGGUGCUAUUCGAAGCACCCCAAUCGGAUUCUCUCUCUAUAUAUAUAUAUAUAGCUGAAUUCAAUAAUUAUUUCUAAUUUUGUACUUAUUUAAAAUAAUGAUAAAAUAUAGGAAGGUAAUUGAACUAAUUUUUAAUGCAAGGGUAAGAGGCCUCUGACCAUCCCAAAUUUCAACAACUAGGCAUAUCAGCAGAGUAUUAUAUAUAUCUAUAUAUAUAUAUAUAUAUAUAUAUAUAUAUAUAUAUAUUAUAUAUAUAUAUAUAUUAUAGUUGGCUGUGGUAUGCUUAUGAAAGCACGGAGGCCUCCGUGCUUUCAUGUUGUUUCGAUGUUCGGACUUUCGAAUCGACGAUCGGUUCCGUUAGAGUUGAUCUAGAGUAUUUGAAUACCUAGAAAAUAAAUUUUGCGAUUUUUCGAUAUCAUUUGCCUAGUGAUCGAAGGGGCUCAAAAUCAAUAAUUUUAAUGACCAUGGUGAGCCGGUUGCAAGUUUAACGGUAUAGAAAUAUUCAAAUCACGUGAAAUUCUGAUAGAAAUUUUUUAUACUAUAUAAAAUAAGAUCAAUAUCUUUGAUCUAAAUUUUAAUGUCAUAUCAUCAUAUUUUGUGAGAUUUUUUUUUCAGCCGUUGAUUUGAGCCCCUACGCACCUAGGCAAAUGAUAUCGAAAAAUCGCAAAAAUUAUUUUCUAGAUCUUCAAAUACUCUUAGAUCAAAUCUAACGAGACGAUGUCGAUUCGAAAAUCCACACAUCGAAAACAACUUGAAAGCAUGGAGGCCUCGUGCUUCCAUAAGCAUACCGCGCAAACAUAUAUAUAUAUAUACAUAUAUAAUAUAUAUAAUAUAAAUAUACUAUAUAUAUAUAUAUAUAUAUAGUACGGCUGGGACACUAUUAAUAGCACCAUGCACCAUGCAUUUGGUGCUAUCAAGUUUUCCGCCGUUAGAUUUAACCCUUUGACUAUUUUCACCCAUUAAAUUAUAUUAUUAAACAAACAACUCACUCAACCCUUGGGGUCCCACAUCAUAUUAACCGUACAUUUUUUAAUCCAAUGACCGAAAACCUAAUAGCAUAAAAUGCUUGGUGCUAUUGAUAGUAUUACAGCCUAUAUAUAUAUAUAGGCUGGGGCUACUAUACUCUUAUGAGUAUAGACCCUCUUAUACUCAUAAAUUUCUAACAGUUAAUUGAUGGGAUGUAUGGUUAGGAUGAUAGUAGUCCCCACUUAGAAUGAGAGUGGUCGCCUACGGUUGAGUGGGUAGUUGGUUGAAUAGUAAAAUCUCACGGAUAAAAAUGAUCAAUAAAAUAAAUCUAUGAGCCAAAAAUUUAUGAGUAUAAGAAAAUCAAUAUUCAUAAAAAUAUAGUAGCCGGACUCUCUCUCUCUCUCUCUAUAUAUAUGUAUAUAUAUAAUUUUGUGUAAUACUAAAUACAAAGGACAAUACUAGUUCUAUAGCUUACUUUGGAUUAUAAUCAUACAAUUUCCGUAGUUCACAAAGUCCUUUCUUCUUUACUUAUCUUACCAUUUUCUUCCUCUACGACUAAAAAAAAUUAAUAAAUCCUACAACGCUUAGGGGGGGAUUGGGAUCUUUUUAAUAUUAAAGAAAAAAUUGCCUAUAUCAAUUUAUCCCACUCUACUUAAAAGUAAGGGGGUUGUUACCCGAGUUUUAAGUUUAAAUUUUAGUUGAUUUAUAUUUUUAUUUAAUUUUAUUUUUAAAUUAAAUAAAUGAAGUUACUAACAUGCUACUGAUCUCUAAAAAAAAAAAAUCCAAAAGGAAUUGGCUCAUCGUAGGAAGUAGAGUUGUGGGAUUCUAACUUUUUUGGGUGUUAAUUAGACUUAGUAUUCCUCUUUUGAAAGAAGAAAGCUCUGAAAAUUAAUCUUACCUUGAGGAGCACCGCACCGGCCGGUGGAAUGUACUCAAACAUGUCGCCGGCGACCGCGUCGAUGAGCUCGCUUUUGGGUGCGGCGGCCACGACGUGCGGGAGCUCGAGGACGGUGCACUUCACCUCCGGAAACGCCUCGGCGAUCAUCUUGGCGGUCAUGCCGGUGCCGCCGCCGACGUCAACCAGCGACCCGAUCCCGCGGAAGACCUGCGGGCAGCACGCCACCGCCGCCGCCGUCGUCUGCCUGGUCUUGCACGCCAUCGCCUCGUUGAACAGCCUGCCCAUGUGCGGGCGCUCCUGGGCCACCUUCCACAAGUUCCUCCCGCCGUGCGCCAUCUCAAAUGCAUUCAUAUUCGCACCUUCCUGCGUCAGCCACUCGCUCAUGCGGUACAUCGGCUUCACCAUGUCGGGCUCCAAGAAGGCCCGCACGUACGAGCUCAUGUUCGGGCUGCCGUCAUCGGCGGUGACGAGGAGCCGCGAGAAGGGCGUGAGGAGGUAGCCAAUGCUGCCGUCGCCGUCGUCGUUGACGCCGCUGUCGCCGAGAGCCUGCACGGCGAAGACGCCCUGCGCGGAGAGAAGGCGCAUGAGGCGGCGGAGCAUCGGCUGCUUCUCGAGGGGC